UAGGUGAUGAAUGCCCAAAUAAUGAGCGGUGAUACAGGCCCGUGUUACUGAU
rnacentral:snoRNA from 1 species